rnacentral:lncRNA from 1 species
GUCUGAAUAGUCAUAAGCUAUCCAUUACUGACCUGCUUCCCAUAAAGAAUGAGCUGAGAGUCCUGACUUAAGACUCAGGAAGGAGUGAAGAUGGACGCUCAGCCUGUUUCAGCAGUGGAUCGUCAUGUGAUUCCACCUUACUUGGGCCAUCAUUCUUGGAAAGUCAUCCAGUUCAUCAAUAUCCUUUAACACUGUUUGGAUUUGUGGGUGUUCAUUCAAGCAGGAAGGGAGGCCUAUGGAGGUGGACUUGCUGCAGAAUAGCUUUCAACGCACAGCCCCGGCUUAGCUUUUCCUCUCUAGACUGGAAUCAAAGCAAACUUCUUGUCUCAAUGCAUGUGAAGGCAGUAAGUUAAUGAAGCAUGACAGUGAUUUUAUGCUCAUUUUUUGGCUAUGGGAUAUUCUACACCCACUUUAGUCCCAAACCAGUGUUAUAUCAGAAAUCAGAAUAUCCAACACAACUUAUUAAUCAAAACUCAAUUUUAUUUAGCAUUGAAGUGGAAGCUAAACAAUGAGAACAUAUGCACACAUAGAACGGAAAAACACUUAGCAGGGCCUUUCAGAAGGUGGGGAGUGGGAGGAGGGAGAGGAUCAGGAAAACUAACUAAUGGAUACUAGGCUUAAUACCUGGGUGAUGAAAUAAUCUGUACCACAAACCCCCAU